CAGCGGCGGCGGCACCGUGGCGGCCAGCGCCGCCUCAUAAGCGGCCGCGGCCGCCUGCGCCUGGGUGGCCGCCUGCUCGGCCUGGGCGGCCGUCGUC
rnacentral:tRNA from 1 species